UGGCCUGAUGAUAUUGGUAAUAGGAAGUGCCGUCAGACGCGAUAACUGACGAUGUCUGUACCUGCCUGACC
rnacentral:snoRNA from 15 species